ACGGGGGGCUACGGGAGGCAGCAGUGGGGAAUAUUGCACAAUGGGGGGAACCCUGAUGCAGCAACGCCGCGUGAGCGAUGAAGGUCUUCGGAUUGUAAAGCUCUGUCUUCGCUGACGAUAAUGACGGUAAGCGAGGAGGAAGCCACGGCUAACUACGUGCCAGCAGCCGCGGUAAUA
rnacentral:rRNA from 1 species